UGCAGUUGCCAGUCUCACAGGCAGAAACUGGGGGAAGAAAAUUCUGUGUCAUCAAAUACAAGAGGGAAAUACUGUUUUCUUUAGGGUUGAGUGAUGUGAAUUGGACUGUCAAAGCUCAGUAACUUCUAUUCUUCUGUAUGGGGGCCAAUCCAAGAAGCAGAUUAAAUAACAGAUUUAUAUCAGUGAAUUACCAUUUCAGACCUUCUAGGACUCCUCUUUGGACACUGUAAGUUGAAUGACAGAAAAAUCCUGAUAAUAUGCUGUCAAAGUAUUUCAAGUCUCAUUUAGCACUUGUCUACUGCAAUCAACUGUCGUCUUUACCUAUUGUCAUGAAAAAGUGACACUUCCGGAGAGUGUAUUUUCUAAAUCAAGAAUGAAAUGCCAAGAUCAUCUAAAAUGGAAUAUAUUUUUACACCCUUGACUUUUGAAU